AUUUCCAUUUGCCAUUUUUUGCGCACACAAUAUGGCCAGUGAUUUCUUCACAGGUGAUCACUUCUGUUCUUUUAAUUCCAAAGAAAAUCACCGAUGCAAAUGAAAACAGACGCACCCAAAAGCAGUUUCUUUGAUUUGCCGUUUCGAAAACCCGUUUCUUUUUGCCGAAUCUGAGCGACCAUUUUGUGGUUGAACAUUGAAUACAAUGGGUCCUUCAGGAAUUUGUAGAUACGGCUCCAAAGUUCAGAUGGUCAUUCUGUGACCAAGAGCAAGGAACUGAUGCUGCAGGCAUGCUGUUCUCAUCUCAGUUUGUUGCCUCCAAGGAGACUCUGUUUUGGGGAUGGUUCUUUCUCAUAUUUGGCUCUAUCUUCUUUCUGGGUUUCUUCUUCACAGCAAUUAUAUCGAAGUUUCUUCCACCAUCAGACAGUGUAAUCUUAUCCGCCAUGCAAAAUGACAGGUAUUAUUGCCUUUUGGUGCCCUUGACUCUUCCAAUUGUAGUGGUCGCUGUAUACUUUCACUGGCUGAGUAUGAAAUUGUUUAAGCAUGCAUGAUCUUGUCCUUAUACUUUUGAAGUGUGCAUUCUGCUAGCAGGAAUCAAUGUAUGGUUAUCAUUUAUCUCGCUUCUAUAUUUUGCUUUCAUCUUUAAUAUAAUAAAUAUCGUUUUUUUUCUACUUCUUUUAUCCCUUCUCUCUCUACAUGUAUAUAUAUAUUUGUAUGUAUGUAUGUACAUUCUCUCUGAAGUUACCUCGAAUUAUCUGAGACUGUUGCAUGAUUUUAUCCUAA